rnacentral:rRNA from 1 species
AACGCGAAGAACCUUACCUGGUCUUGACAUCCACGGAAGUUUUCAGAGAUGAGAAUAUGCCUUCGGGAACCGAGAGACAGGUGCUGCAUGGCUGUCGUCAGCUCGUGUUGUGAAAUGUUGGGUUAAGUCCCGCAACGAGCGCAACCCUUAUCCUUUGUUGCCAGCGGUCCGGCCGGGAACUCAAAGGAGACUGCCGGUGAUAAACUGGAGGAAGGUGGGGAUGACGUCAAGUCAUCAUGGCCCUUACGACCAGGGCUACACACGUGCUACAAUGGCGCAUACAAAGAGAAGCGACCUCGCGAGAGCAAGUGGACCUCAUAAAGUGCGUCGUAGUCCGGAUUGGAGUCUGCAACUCGACUCCAUGAAGUCGGAAUCGCUAGUAAUCGUGGAUCAGAAUGCCGCGGUGAAUACGUUCCCGGGUCUUGUACACACCG